ACAACAUCCAAUUGGAAGAGAACAUAGUGGAAGAUUUAGGUGUAAAGGGUGAAGAGGAUAAAGAAAAAGAUGGCGAUACAAAGAUAUCACUAAAACAAAAAAGAGAAGAGAAUACAGUAGGUAUGAAGGAAAAGGAAAAGUUGGAUUCAAGAGCAUCAAUUUCUUCUAUUGAAACUAUUGAAGCGAUGCAGCUGAGGAUCGAGCAGAAAGCAAAAAAAAUUGAGGUGCUUGAGACUCAAAUAGAGGCUAUGAAAAACCAGCUGCAAUUCGUGGACCUGAUGCGCUUAAGAGUUGAUUUUGUCGAGAAAGAAGUCAUGUUAUUAAGUGAGAAGUGCAAGACUAAUGAGGUUUUAAAAGAAUACAAGCUAAAAGAUUUUAGUGACGAAGAAAUGCCUUUGGAUGAAUUACAGGCUAACUUAAAUGCAGUAAAUGCCACAAGACCAAAAAUGGUGGAUUCGGAUGAAGAGAGUACAGUGGAUGGAAAAUACCCGACGAGAGAAGUAUAUAAUGACCAGCCGCAACAAUCUUCACCGGUAAAGAUAUUUCAACCCACUCCUUCAAAUAUAGAGAACUUUAAGCAGAAAAAAUUAGCAAGACUCUGAAGAUUAUGGAAACGGACCAUGAUACUAACAUUGCCCGAGAGAAGAGCAAAAGAGAGACAAAGCCGGGGCCAUCUCUACUAACUCCAUAUCGAAGUACUAAACCUAUUGUAGGUAACAUAAAAAAAGAAAAGGAGUCAAUGGUGCUUGUUGGACGUGGAUAUGAUCCAUUCACACAAGUGGAUGUGCACAAAAUUAAAGUCUUAGAUGAUUGGUUACGACUGGAUGAGUAAGUUGUUUGUCCAUGACUGUCAUGUUAUUAACGUAGCGAUAAAUUGAUUUUUUCUCUUCUUUUAAUCACUAAAAAUUUGUUUUAUUGCAGACAAUACCCUAUCGGCUCCCAACAAACUGGCUUAGAGUUUUUUAAUAUUCUGCGAACUCCUCAAAAGUGGCUAAAUGAAGAGCAUAUUAAUAGCGCCAUGAAUUUGUUGCGAUUGAGAUUUAUGAAGAAUCCAAAAGUGUUUAGAAGUGAGAGGAUUGCUUUUACGGAUGCUUAUUUCUCAGCAAUUUGGUCAAAAAGUUACAAAGAGUUUCUAGAAUCAAAAACAGUACCCAUUUUCCCUAACAGAGCAUUUGAAUAUGUUAGCGGGGAGUUACCUGAAUUUGCUAAAAUAAGAAAGAAGUGGAGGACAGAGGUGGAUGAUAUUUAUGGUGUUCUCCAUGUCAAUCAAGACCAUUGGGUAGGGCUGUUCAUUUCUAUCCCAAAUCGCUCAGUUGAUGUCUUUGAUUGUGGGUGGAAAGCUAGUAAGAAUGAUGAUAUUUUCACAGCGGUGAAGCCAAUAGCUCAUAUGCUACCACAUUUACUUCGAGCAGUAGCACCAUCAACAGAAAAGACAAAAAUGAGUGUCGAACAGUACAAAAUUCGGCGGCCGCGGACUAGGAUUCCCCAAAUGGAAAAAGUAGGUGACUGUGGAAUUUAUGCCAUCAAGUUUGUUGAAUGUCAUGCAUUAAGUGCUGAGUUUACUACGUCUUUAUCUGAUGUAAGCAUCAAGAUGGUGAGAGAGAAGCUUGCAGCCGAGAUUUUUGACGAGACGGAACAACAUGGACGAACAGUUGCUAAGCCAUGUUGAUUGAUAUUUCUCUUUUUCGGUUAUCUGCUACCUGUUAUUGA